rnacentral:rRNA from 1 species
UCAGGAUGAACGCUGGCGGCGUGCUUAACACAUGCAAGUCGAACGAAGCAGUUUAUCACGAUCCCUUCGGGGUGACGAUUUACUGACUGAGUGGCGGACGGGUGAGUAACGCGUGGGUAACCUACCUUGUACAGGGGGACAACAGUUGGAAACGACUGCUAAUACCGCAUAAGCGCACAGCUUCGCAUGAAGCAGUGUGAAAAGUUUUUUCGGUACAAGAUGGACCCGCGUCUGAUUAGCUAGUUGGUGAGGUAACGGCCCACCAAGGCGACGAUCAGUAGCCGACCUGAGAGGGUGACCGGCCACAUUGGGACUGAGACACGGCCCAAACUCCUACGGGAGGCAGCAGUGGGGAAUAUUGCACAAUGGGCGAAAGCCUGAUGCAGCGACGCCGCGUGAGCGAAGAAGUAUUUCGGUAUGUAAAGCUCUAUCAGCAGGGAAGAUAAUGACGGUACCUGACUAAGAAGCACCGGCUAAAUACGUGCCAGCAGCCGCGGUAAUACGUAUGGUGCAAGCGUUAUCCGGAUUUACUGGGUGUAAAGGGAGCGUAGGCGGUUUUACAAGUCUGAUGUGAAAGCCCGGGGCUCAACUCCGGUAUUGCAUUGGAAACUGUAGAACUAGAGUGUCGGAGGGGUAAGUGGAAUUCCUAGUGUAGCGGUGAAAUGCGUAGAUAUUAGGAGGAACACCAGUGGCGAAGGCGGCUUACUGGACGA